rnacentral:lncRNA from 1 species
AAUCCUAGUUUGAUUCUAUAUAACUUCUUUUUUCGUCAUUGUUGGGGGGCAGGAACAAAUAUUGAGCUUUUUAUUUUGUGAUUUUUUCAAGUUGAGAACACAAAAGAUUGAGGGAAGGAUACGUUCGAAUCAUGAAACACAUUUUGAAAGGGCAGAGAUAAUAAAUUUAGUGUUUCGCUUUCAAGUUCAUGUUCGUAUCUUUAAUCGGUUGUUCCUAGUUGAGCUUGGUGUGGUGAAGGUUGUCUCUCCAACUCGUUCAUGUCCCUCUUCGCUGACUAGAAGAAGGUAAUAGAUCCUCUUUCGUAGUAUUUUUUUUCUAUCGUCUUUUAGAUUUCAAAAUGAUUUUUGAGUGAUUUGAAGCUUGUGGUGUUGUUUUUUUGUAUUUUUACAUAUUGAUAUGCCUCAUUCAUAACGCUUUAGUUAUUUCAUGGUCUACUAGAAGGUAUUGUUUUCUAUUUUUUUUAUUCGUGCCUAAAUUCGCUUUUCGUUUGUUGUUCCCCUCAAGGUUAUACCACUGCCUCCUCUUGAAAUUCUUUUGAAUGUCAUUGAGCUUGUAUGCCCUUAUUCCCUUGUGUGCUAAUGUCAAAAUUUGUAUUUUUGUAUCACUACUUCUGACCUUCUUACCAAACGAAAGCAAAAUCUUGGAAAAAUUGAUGAUUGCUAAGUAGUAUGUCAUUUUAGUAAUUGUAUGUUGGAUGAUGUGUGUUGGAUGCCACAAAUAGCUUCACUAUUCUAUUUGAUAUCAUGUUGGUCCUAUGGCUCAAUGUGCCUCAUUUAAAUCAAGUUUACACCAUAUUUGCUCAGAUUUUAAAAAUAAAUAAAUAAAUCAAUAAAAUGUUUGUCAUUCGUAAUCAAUCUCCUAAUAUAUAUGAGAUGCAUUCAAAAAUCAUGAUUAAUUCUCUUUUUGUGCUCGCCAUUACCCGGUAGCUUGACUAAACAAAUGCAUUUGGCCAUUUAAUGAUUUACUGUAAGUGUUUAUAUCUAUGUCAUCCUUAGACGAGAAUUACAACUUUGGUUCAUGUCUGUUAAGUAUCUGUUAGUUGUUCAACGUUUUGAUACUAGGAACUUAGUUUUAGGCACAAUGUUUUGUUAGUUAGAAUCUCAGAAGUUGUCCUUCGCUUCAUUUUACAAAUGUUCUUCUAACAUAGAAUACAUGUUUCUGAUGUGCCAAACGAGUUGUCUUCCAAUUUCUAUAUCCUGCUUCGCUUUUCUCUAAAUUUUUGGCAUAUAAAAAUGAUUGUUUGACAUUGACUUGUGCCUUUGUUGGUCUCUCUCUAUGUGACAAGAUGAUUUUUCUAAUUUUGAUGUUAUUCCUUAGUGGUAUUACUUGCUCAUUUUGUAUUUGUUCCUCAGUAAUUCAAUGGAUUAUUCAUCAAUAUGAGAAAUUUGUUUGGGACCGAAAACCAAUGGAAGCUAAAAAAGGAGUUUGCUCAUAAGUUGUUUGAACACAUGCUUACAGUGAUCAAAAUGUACUCUUUGUCUUAACAUCUUUGUUUGAAUGACUCAUGUGAUUUAUUUUGAUCUUCCGGAAAUUGGUUGGCAGUAUUCGUGAGUGAAAACCGAAGUAGCCCUUUUUCUUUCUUCUUUUUCUCACUG